CUCAAAUAAAUUUGAUCUCUCAACAAUAAUAUUUAGUACCUCUCUUUUUGGGCUGCACAAAAUAUAAUUGAGGGUAAAAUAGUUUAUAUACAGCUCUCAUAUUACUUAAACACUUUUGUUUAAAGGACAAUAUUUUGUAGCCGUUGUUGCGCAAACUUGAGGUUGACUAGAAUAUUGGUGUCUUCUAUGGAAAGGCAGACCCACAUGCUUCAGAUUGAGGAUGGCAGGUUUACGCAGAUUGCAUUAAUUCGGAGGGAAAUAUCCCAAGCCUCUUAGGCAAAAAUUGUUUCUAGCCUGAUCAUUGCAGAGGUGUCAACUUAUAGGUGUUAGCUGAGAUUUUCGACAUUGAAAAGUAGGGACUUGGCGUAUUUUGAUGGUGAUUUCCACGUAACAACUACAAUUUCAACUACAAGCGAUUACUUCACUUACAAAAGGAUAAGAUUAAAUACCGGCCACACACAGAAGUUUGGAUGUCGAAAAUACGUGGAAGCAAGUCAUCAGCCUCGAAGCCACGUAACAAGGAUACGUGUCGAGCAUACAGAUAGCAAUCAUAUAAGACAAUCAUAAAUCUAGUAGUAUAUAUAGGUAAUCAUGAUGUCGGGAUGAAGGGUUACCAAUUCACAUACAACUAUCCAAAACUUAUAGUAUCUGCAUUACUGAGAGAAAUAAGUGUGUGAGAGAAUGUACGAUCUUGUGUACCAUCUUUUCAUUUUUAUGUAUUUUAUUAAAGCAAUUUCCUUUAUUCAACUUAUCUCUUCAUUAUUUUUUCCUUGAUUUCACUUUACUUAACAUCCAACCUAACUCUGUUGGUAAUUUCCUUUUAACUUCUUUUUUACUUUACAGUCGAAUUAAUGGAUACUAUGAACAAAUCUAUUAAUUCUUGUACAAAUAUGUCAUAGGAUUUAGUAGUCAAUCAUGCAAGUAACCACCUUUGUAGAGUAGCACUUGUUUGACAAAACACCUGUAAACAAUAGGCCCGUGUAUCUCUGGCUUCGUCUUCCCGUAGGAGACAUGUGUCACUUACUGAGGCAUAAGAGGCACCCGAGUAUCAGCAUGAGGCAUCGAUGCCCCGCAGGUACCCGAGGCCCUAUAGGAUGCACCCGAGGCCUAGUAAGGGUUUAGAGGAGGCCCAUUAGGGAUUCAGAGGAGGCCGUAUGACUUGUCAUUGUUGCCUCUAUACCCAGACAAUACUUCCAGACAUGUAUAGGACUAAGAGGUAAACCAUAAAAGUAAAAUGAAAAAUAUCUCUUCUUUAUUUUUAUUUUGAAAAGUCAUGUUUGACGAUGAUUUAUUUUUAUUGCAAGACCGUGGUGAUUUAAAAUUCAUAAACCAUAGUCGAAAGAUGACGAUUCUACAAGUACCUAAUGAGUCGUGGUUUAUGAAUGUGUUGCUGCUAUCCAGGAUGAGAGAUUUGAGCAGGAACGAUUAUCCUACGGUUAACCAUGGUAUGAUGUAUGUCUUUGUAUAGAGACAGAACUUAGAGACGCCAUCAUUUCAUCUCUCACAUGGUGAGCUGUCUAUCACGUGAACAAUGUCUCCUAUCUGCUGCAUAUUCUGAUCUGGGGGGAUUCUUAGACCACGACAGAAUUAAAGGAGAUGAGGCAUUGGUGAUAUUGGUAGGCUAUCUGGGAGCUGACCUGGAAGAAGCUGUGAGGGAUUUAAAAGCCAUUCAAUGAGCUUGUGUUAGGUUUCAAUUGUUUGUAUAUACAAGUCAAAAGGUGUCGAACUGAUGGGGAUAUCAAUAAGAGUUAUGUUAGAGAUGGACUAAUAUUUUGAAUCUUGAGGAGUCAAUUGAAAUCACAUAAUUAUGAGUUUUUGGUUAAUGGAAUAGCCAUAAGAACGAUGAUAUACUAUUUUAUUAAGAGAAUUGAUAUUUCUUUGUAAACAAAUAUUCAUUGGAAGUGUGAAGAAAAACUUACAUCUCAGCAAAAUUAAAUUUCAUCUCUCAACAAUCAUAUUUAGUACCUCUCUUUUUGGGCCGGACAAAAUGUAAUUGAGGGUAAAGAUAAUUUAUGUACCACUCUCAUAUUUCUUAAAGGCAUUUUUUUAGAGGAUAACAUUUUGUAGCCGUUGUUGCGCGAACUUGAGUUUGGCCAGAAUAUUGGUGUCUUAUGUGGAAAGUCACACCCACAUGCUUGAGGUUUGCACUAUGUCCCUUAUUUUUAAUUCUUAAGUGAUGUGAGACUAUUUUGGUGAAUAUUUUCAACAAAUUCUAUUGAAUGGUUUUGCAUCAAUAAAAACCCUUCAAAAUAUUAUUGAAGUUUGAAUUUGGUUAAUCAAAUAUGUAGAAAAAGAUUUUUUAAAUAUAUUUUGGAAUCGCUUAAAACACCAAAUGGAUUGCUACAACACCCUCAUAAAAAAUCUCAAAUUUUAGAGACGCAUCUCCGGACGCAACACAAACACAUUCGUUUUUGAACCAGACCCUAAGGGUAUGUUAAAAACAUUUACAGUAAUGCAUCUCCGUGUACCUUAAGAAGAUGCAUAUAUCAUGAUGUUGUUUAACCAAAAGGGAGACAAAACCCUUUCUCCUUCCACACUUCUCAAAAUACUCUCUCAAACUCAACCUCUCACCUCUCAAAAUCUCUAACUCACAUUCUCUUAAAAUCAUUCAACUCGCCUCAAAUCUUCUUCCAUCAACAUCAAAAAACGAUUAAAGAGCUCAUUCAACAUCAACAUAUCUCACAUUUGGUAAAAAAAAAUUCUAUUUUUUUUUAUUUUCCAUCAAUAUUUGUGAAAAUUGAGCAUUAGG